rnacentral:rRNA from 1 species
CAGCAGCCACGGUAAUACGGAGGGUGCAAGCGUUAAUCGGAAUUACUGGGCGUAAAGCGCACGCAGGCGGUCUGUCAAGUCAGAUGUGAAAUCCCCGGGCUUUACCUGGGAACUGCAUUUGAAACUGGCAGGCUAGAGUCUUGUAGAGGGGGGUAGAAUUCCAGGUGUAGCGGUGAAAUGCGUAGAGAUCUGGAGGAAUACCGAUGGCGAAGGCAGCCAUCUGGCCUAAUACUGACGCUGAGGUACGAAAGCAUGGGGAGCAAACAGGAUUAGAUACCCCAGUAGUCCCUGUCUCUUAUAC